CUUUUCCCAGAGGCAGCUGCAUCUCAGUGCUGAGCGAGCCAUGCCCGUGCGGCGUUGCUGUGCGGCUGUUACCAAGCUGCCCUGCCCCAGAGGUGGCUGCAUCUUAGCACCACGUGUCAUGAUCCAUCCCCAUCCAUCCUCACUGUGUGGUUCUUACCCAGCUGCCAUCCAUCAGCAAACGGGGUCAAAACUCUGUUGCAGGGUUGAUCCAAUAACCCUCCUUUCUCCUUUUCAGUCACCCGCCCUGUUUGGGCUCCCACGUACAUCAUAGGACCUACAGUUGCGCUUGUCCUGUUGCUGCUGGUGGGGCUGGUCGGCGUCAUAGCUUGGAGGAAGAGGCGGAGCAAACGCCAGGGAAUGAGCAGCAAUCCGCACCCGCCGGGCCCGGGGGAGACCCCGAUGUCUGAUCGCAUCUAUGAGAACACCCAGCACUAUGGCAUGGGGAAGCCAGCCCGCCUGGCCCCACCCGGGGCCCCCAGCGCGACCACUGAAGUGUGCCCGGGCUCUUCGGCCAGCACCAGGCAAUCCCACAUCUACAGCCAGCCGAUGGACAUGGGCAAAGUACCACAGGGUGACCUGGACGAGGUCAACUACUCGGCCAUCCAGCUGCAGCCUCCCCCCCGGAGAGCAGAGCCUGAAGCCGACCUCACCUGCGAAUACGCUGCUAUUAAGCGCUAGCAUCCAGCUGUUGCUCACCUGGCGCCUCCCCCCAAAUUCAGGGCAGCCCCACGGCCUGGGCGACACACGAGGCCAGGCUGGGUGAUCUCCCCGCCCCCGGCUGAGCUGAGACUCUGGGAAUUAGGCUCCAAAUUCAGAGGUUUGCUAAGAUCUGGAUUCUUAGAAGUGGCCCCAUAAAUGGGGCAUUCAAGGGGGCGCCUCAGGGAUCGGAGGGUGGAGGGAGGCACUAAGGCCCAGCUCCUGGAAGGGAUUUCAGUGCCUAACUCCCCUGGGGCUUCACUCCCGCAGAAGGGCUUUUUCUGUCACUUCCCAUUGACUCAAUAGACAUUCCAGGCUUCAGCGCGACGCAGACACAGCGCGGCUCUGCUGGACUCACACUAUAAAGCUUUAGAACUAAAACACAAAGUGUCGACUGUCUUGUUAUAGCCGCUUGGCCCUGGGCUGGGAGAGAGACAAGGUGGGUGACGGUGAAAUCGAGGUUUCCUGCCAUUGAGUAAUGAAAAUAAUUGAAAUCUUCCGAGCCUACAUGUAUUUAUGUCAGACCAAGAGUCAGUGAGAGACCAGCCUUAUAACCAAUAACCGCCCUUAUCCUAAGCUAAUGCACCAAUUUCUUUGUGGCGGAUUCUAGGCCCCAUUGCCAAACCUCUUACUGAACAGACGUUCACUUAGUACGUCCACAGGCUUGGAGGAUUUGGUUUUUAGUGGUAAACGUCAAUUUCGCCAUAUUCACACCAACCGCCAAAACAUAUUUCCCUUGGUAAUAAUUGACAUCGGCAGAUGGGCCAGGUAAGAAAACUGUGGCUUGAGAACUUAGUGUUUGAUUUAAGGAUAUUGAGUUGGGAAUUUUGACCGGGGAUGUUGACGAUUUGUGUUUUAAGAGUUGUAAAGUGUUCACUCUUUCAACCUCGACACAUGCAGUCAUGAAAUAAAUAUUGGCUGACACACA
rnacentral:lncRNA from 1 species